GAUUGUAGAAUCCAAGGAUGAGUCCAUUACCAAGUCAGCUCUGUACAAAGCUUUGGUGUUGAUUGCUCUUGCUCAGCAGGGGAAGCAGCCUUCAGCCAAACUGCUGGAGAACGUCACACAAGAAUAUCCAAAGCCUCAGCUGCGUGAGCUGGAGUCGAUCCAGAUGCAGGCUCAGGGAAAUCCCAUCCUCCUCUCACAGACUCUGCAAGACUUGUUGCAUAUUGACACGGUGCAAGUGGAACUCAUUCCAGAGAAGAAGGGUUUGUUCCUAAAACAUGUGGAAUAUGAACUUUCCAGCCAGCGAUUCAAGUCAUCGGUUUACCGAAGAUACAAUGAUUUUGUGGUGUUUCACGAGGUGCUGCUCCAGCGGUUCCCAUAUCGGAUGGUGCCGGCAUUGCCACCAAAGAGAAUGCUAAGAGCUGACCGUGAGUUUAUUGAGUCUCGGCGACGUGCUCUGAAACGCUUUGUUAACCUGGUGGCUCGUCACCCGUUCUUUUCCGAAGAUGAGCUUCUGCAGAUUUUCUUGUGCUUCAGUGGUCCUGAUGUCCAGAAUAAGAUUCGGGAAUCAUUGCGAGGAGUGGGCGAUGAGUUUAUGACGUGUGGAAUCGCAGCAACAGCUAAGGAACUACUUCCUCCUGAUAUCCAGACUCAGUUUGGUGCCAGCAGGGAGCUGAUUCGAAACAUCUACAACAGCUUUCAUAAGCUGAGGGACCGGGUGGAGAGAAUGGCAAACAGGUCUGCUGAGAAUGCCACUGAUCUCCUGUUGUUCGGAAAGGAAUUGAGUACCCUAGGCUCUGACACAACACCGGUUCCAUCAUGGGCAUCAGCAGCAAGCAACACAUGGGGUACCCUGAAGCAAGCGCUUAAAGGCUUAUCUGUGGAGUUUGCAUUACUCGCUGAUAAAGCUGCACAGCAGGGUAAGCGAGAAGAAGAGGAAGUGGUGGAAAAACUCAACCUUUUCCUGGAUUUAUUGCAGUCCUACAAGGAUUUGUGCGAGCGUCAUGAGAAAGGUGUCCUUCAUGAGCACCAACGAGCGUUGCAGAAAUACAGCUCCAUGAAACGGCAGAUGAUGAGUGUAACUGUGCAGAACAAGGAGCAGAUUUCUGUGGAGCAACUGGAGUCACGAAUUGUGCAGCAAGAAAAUACAAUCCUGACCAUGGAGCUCCGGAACUAUUUCUCAAUGUUUUGCCUACACCAGGAGACUCAACUUAUCCACACCUACCUGCAUAUCACCUCCCAUGUGCUGACUGCCUUCAUUGAUUCCCAGAUCCAAGGGCACCGAGAGACAGGGCAAUAUGAUGUCUCAGGUCCGGCACUGUCUGUUUCACACAACUGCAGAACAGUUAAAAAAAACACCAGCUGAACAGAGGUGGUUAUCAAGGCAACUGAGGGACCCAUAUGUGAAAUCUGCGCAACAACAAAACUACCGCUGUCGGAGUGCAUUUAAGUUACUGGAGAUUGAUGAGAAGCACAGCAUCUUGAGGCCUGGGAUCAGCGUGAUUGACUGUGGUGCAGCACCAGGUGCCUGGAGCCAGGUUGCAGUUGACAGGGUCAAUGCCACUAGCAAUGAUUCUGUAGACCAUCUGAGUUUUUCCAGCAUUUUCUGUUUUUGUUUCAGAUUUUAAGCAUCCACAGUAUUUUGCUUUUAUCUUAGUAUUCAAUUCACUGACACUUCACUUCCAGGAAUGCUUACCCUGAAGGAGUACUGCUCUUCUCUCCGACAGGAUUUCUGUUUGCCUCUUUUGCCCUAUUCCCUCCUGGUGUUUGACAAGGUGUUUACCAAAACUCGCCUUCACAGCCAUAUUUCUCAGUGACUGUCUCCGUCUCUUACUCACCCAAUGUGGAUUCCAACUGAAGUUCCAUCCCUCAUGUUUCGAAUCCACCCAGGAUUUCAGGUAUCUCUGGGACACAUAAUGUUCCUUAGACAGUUGUUCUCGCCACAUCCAUGAACCGCCAUAUGAACACACUCGACCUUUCCAUCUAGCAGCAUCAAACCAUCCUAUCUCAAAGCUGCCUUUGUCCCCAGUUUCAUUUUAUUUUUUGUCUCAUCCGAUGCCUUAACAAGAAACUUUUCUCUUCCUUUCAGGUGUUAAGGAAUGCAAGCACCAACAACUUAUUGAUACCAAUGCCCAUCCUGAACCCU